UUUCAGAUGAGUUAAUGGUUGCUAAUUUUAGGCUCCUUGGGAUGUCCCUUCAGUCGAAUAGAACAGUUCAUAGACUUUCCCAGUGCUAUACGGGAUCUUUAGGAUGUCCACACCUAUCAAUUAUAAAUGUAAAUUGGUUAAGUUUAGUGUUAGUUUAGGGUAAGGACGCCCCAAGGAAUCCGGAUUGCGGUGACCGUUCAUAGAGUGAGAGACUGGCACGGUAUUUGAGAGCUCGGCUGCAACACGACAUUCAUUCGUUUUUUACAAGUGACAGUAGCGAGUGUCUGCCCAAGAUAGUUUCCUUAUUUGAGACGAUGAAAAUAAUUACCAAGAUGUCCUUGAUCCAAUUGAGGAAUGUUAUGAGCCAGAGCAACCAAUCAGCUUCACUGUAGGUGCUCAACCCAACCCCUUCAUUGUUCUCCCUCCACAAGUAACUUCAUCCUCUUCUCCUCUCCUACUUUGCCACCACACUAAAAAUGACUGUACAUUGUCGUAGCAGAAUCGGAAUUCUUUAGGUAACAUUUAUAAAUCAAAUGUUUUAUUUUAUUGCAUGUUUAUGUGAGAUAUUUGUCAUUAGAAUGUCUUCUUUUGGAUAAUACUUUUGGCCGUUUGCAGUUCUCUGUUCUCUGUCAGUGUUAAGUUACUUGGGCCACAGAAAGGGGAGAGGUCAAGCUUGUCUUCAUAUGUAAACAUAUCUUUUAAACCAUGUGAAGGGAUGAUUGAGGGGGAACCAAUUAUCUCUUGGCUCCACAAUGUCUGUGUGCCAGUCACUGUCUCUCUCUCUGAUCUUGUCCAGGAGGGGGUGUAUUUGAUAUAUGCUAUUGGGUGAGGUAAUGGUGCUGGUCCUGAGUGGUACCAAGAGCGAGAUAAGAACAUAGUUUAGGAGACAAAGCUGAACGAUAAUUUUUAGCCAAUGCUGUCUGGCUAUGUGUGUCUUUGCUAUAAAGGAUCUCAGUUGCAAUGUGUAAGGACUCACAGAGAAUUCAUUUAUAGACACUGAAUUGAUCUGAGAGUCACAGGGUUGUGAUGGCGCUCAUAAUAAUUAAAGAUGGACUUUAUGAUAA